rnacentral:lncRNA from 10 species
CUCUGGGCCAGGCAAUGUGUGUUACACAGUCUGGGCUCUUGACAGAACAGAGGGGACAAGACAAUAAAUAUUGUGUGAAAAGGAGAACAUGAGAAAAAACGGUGGGAGCAAAGAGAAUGGAAACAUGGACCUGGGGAGCCACAGAAAGCCCUCAGGGCCAGGGCUCCCCCAUAUCCUGACAGGUGCGGGGCCGGCAUGGAUGCCGCGGUGGGGAGGACGGUGCAGUGGGUGGGACUGAGGCCCAGAGCGCAGCCUCACGGCUGAGAAGAGGCCUGGAAGGAGGAGCUGGAGACACCCCACUUUCCGAGAAUUUCCCUCUGAGCGUCCUGUGUUCCCUCUACGUGGAGAUAAUGCUGCCGUGUUUGCAUGCAGGAGUCGCCUUCAGCAGUAAAGCACCUCCCUGUGUCUAUGGAAGUGUCUUCCACGCUCACCUGAUAGAGUUCGGAAGCAGAACACACAGCCCGUGCAGCCGUCCGCAAAGCCGCUUCUGUCUCAGCACCAGCUCAUCAGGGCAGCCCAGCACUCGGGCAGCUCCGCCUUGGGGAGAGUCCACACAAAUGUGCUUCACUUUUAAAUACUCAACAGAGGAAGAGAUCAGGACACUUCUGGAAGAUUGGCUGGGUUGCGGCAGAUGGUUUUGGUAAAUGCCAGACCUUUAACUCAGUGAAACGGCAAAGUCGGGAAGAAGAACCCACUGGCAGUGUUUGGAGUCACCCUCAGCCAUGGACAUGAACUCAGGGACGGAUGGUGCUGGCACCUUCAUGAGCAGAGCUGGUCCCAAACAGCAGGAGAAAUCGUUGGAAGGGUGACUUCCCCAGAGCUCCCGGGAAUACUGGAAUUCAGGCCUCUCACCCCAGCAUUGCGUAAGGUUGAGAGGCAGACACGCUUGGUGGUGCUGGGGGCGCCCAUAUGCGGAGUCAGACGUCCAGGAUCUGAGUCCCGGCUCUUCCGUUCGUCAGCCAGAGGCCUCUGAGGGGUCUGCUUUGCCUUCGUGUGCCUUGGUCUCCCCAUCUGUGAAACGGGGAGAUGCUAGGACCCAUCUCAUAGGGUUUUCGAGGGGCUGAGUGAGUUAACACACAGAAGCAUCAGACAGUUCCAGCCCACAGUUGGUGCUGGUCUCAACACUCUGACGGUCCAGAGCAGGGGUAGGCCAAGCUCCACCUGAAGUUGUGUUUUCAAUCCACUAAUUAAUGCAUAAAAAUAUGGCCCCUGCUUUUAGGUGCAGACACAGCUGUGGGUGCCAGUGACAUGGUCACGAGGGCGGCUUGUCAUUAGUGCGAGGGGACACUGGUGUCCGAGGAGGGCGGGCUGUGCCGGUCUGAGGGUGUCGGCCUGCGAUGGAGGACACUCCUCUCUGAUUAUUUCAAUGCAUAGGCCUUAAGAGCCCCUUCCUGCUGGAACCCUCAAAUCCCGGAACUCCUCUUUGCCUCUCGGAACAGCCUCAGCACCACCCGUGAGGCUGCACGUUUUACUCCUGAGCUGACCCUGAGAAUGCUGCUGCCCCCCGUCGAGCCAUGCGAGUCUCAUCCUGUUUAAACUUCAUUCUCCGAGAGGAAAAUCUCUCCUGUGAGCCAGCGUUGAAGCCAGAUGGUGCCAGCUACCCACACAGCAGGAUGACGCGUCAGGACAGCCUCCCUUGUGGAGGCCGUUGGUCCCUGACAACGGCCACUUCCCAGAAACUCAGAAUUAGAAACUUG